AACGAACGCUGGCGGCAGGCCUAACACAUGCAAGUCGAGCGCGCCCUUCGGGGUGAGCGGCGGACGGGUGAGUAACGCGUGGGAACGUGCCCUUUUCUACGGAAUAGCCUCGGGAAACUGAGAGUAAUACCGUAUACGCCCUUUGGGGGAAAGAUUUAUCGGAAAAGGAUCGGCCCGCGUUGGAUUAGGUGGUUGGUGGGGUAAUGGCCUACCAAGCGGACGAUCCAUAGCUGGGUUGAGAGGAUGAUCAGCCACACUGGGACUGAGGCACGGCCCAGACUCCUACGGGAGGCAGCAGUGGGGAAUCUUAGACAAUGGGGGCAACCCUGAUCUAGCCAUGCCGCGUGAGUGAUGAAGGCCUUAGGGUUGUAAAGCUCUUUCAGCUGGGAAGAUAAUGACGGUACCAGCAGAAGAAGCCCCGGCUAACUCCGUG
rnacentral:rRNA from 1 species